AAGCUGCGAUACGUAGUGUGAAUUGCAGAAUCCGUGAAUCAUCGAAUUCUUGAACGCAACUGGCGCUUCCUGGCUUGCCGGGAAGCAUGCCUGUUUCAGCGUCAUAAUCCUAAACUCACACCUCUCGAUGGGAGGUAGUGGAGAUGAGGGUCACGCUGCUUGGCAGCGGGUCCCUUGAAAGGCAGUGACGCGCGCCGCGGCCCUGGUGGCUCCGCUGGCCUCUGUGGUGGUAGAAAUCAUAAUGCAUUUCCGCAACGCAGAGGUGGAGUCGACCGUACCGUGGUGAGGCGGCGAAAUCCCAUAUUCAAUCUAUGACCUGAAAUCAGGCAAGAUGACCCGCUGAACUUAA
rnacentral:misc_RNA from 1 species